rnacentral:rRNA from 1 species
CCUACGGGUGGCAGCAGUGGGGAAUAUUGGGCAAUGGGCGCAAGCCUGACCCAGCAACGCCGCGUGAAGGAAGAAGGCUUUCGGGUUGUAAACUUCUUUUCUCAGGGACGAGGCAAGUACCGGUCCCCUAGGAAUAAGCCACGCCUAACUACGUCCCAGCGGCCGCGGUAAUAGGUAGGUGGCAAGCGUUAUCCGGAUUUACUGGGUGUAAAGGGCGUGUAGGCGGGUGGACAAGUCAGAUGUGAAAUCCCCGGGCGCAACCUGUGACCUGCAUUUGAAACUGUGUUUCUUGAGUAUUGGAGAGGCAGACGGAAUUCCUAGUGUAGCGGUGAAAUGCGUAGAUAUUAGGAGGAACACCAGUGGCGAAGGCGGUCUGCUGGACAGCAACUGACGGUGAGGCGCGAAAGCGUGGGGAGCAAACAGGAUUAGAUACCCGAGUAGUC